GCGCCCGUAGCUCAGCUGGAUAGAGCAACGGACUUCUAAUCCGUAGGCCGCCCGUUCGAAUCGGGCCGGGCGCACCA
rnacentral:tRNA from 2 species